GGGGAUGCCAGGGUCUCGGGGCCGGAGCCAGGCAAGACGCGGGGAGGGGAGGGGAGGGCAGCGGAGAGCCAGGCCGGGCCUGCAGGUGGCCGCCACGGGUGGGCAGCGGGUGUGACCCCGGGCGUGCGACCCCUUCUCUCCGACUGCUCGGUGGUCUGGGGGGCGCGGAGCGGCCGGGUGCAGGCGGGGCACAACCGGCCUGGGGCCAUGUAGACGUGGCCCCUGCUGAACUCGAAGCCUCGGCGUCCAGGGCGCGGGGACCUCGCUCCUCGCCCAGCCUUCUCUCUCCAGGAUCAAUAGUAACCUCUUUAAGAGUCCGAGGGCUCAAUGAAUCAACCGCUCCCCAGGGGAGGGGCAGAGCUCCCGCGCGCAUCUUCCAUUUGCAGAACAAUUCAUUCGCCGCGCGGGGUUGAGCGCGAAGCCGCCCUCGGCGGGGUCCCCGGUGGGACGGGCGCGACGGCCCCUCCUCGUCCUCGGGCCCCGGCCGCGCCGCGCUCGCUCCCCUUGGCACCCGCGGCCCGCGGCUCUGGUCCCGUCCGGAGGGUGACAAGUCCGCCGGGACCCGGGCGGGCACUCACCCCCUCGGGGCGCUGCCGCCCGCCGCGCUCACACAGCCCCGGCCGCCCCGCGAGCUCCCUGCCCGCCGCCGCCGCCGCCGCCGCUCCUCAGCCGGCAAGCCUCAGCUCAGAAUCGCUACCGCCACCACACCGCCGAGGUGCGGCCAACAAACUAGUUUCUCCGGCCUUUCCGCCCCGCCUCCCGGCCCGUAGCCUAAGAAGCCAAUCAGUGACGGUGCUGCUAUGACGGAUGGGCUGCCGAACCCGUAGUGGAGCCGCUUGAGAAAGGGAGAUUCCCAGCCUCAAGGAAGCAACAUUAGGAGGUGCACAACUUCCCCUAAACUUCAGACGCAUGCAACUAUUUCACCUUCUAACGUAGCCCACCAAUCGGGUUUCCUGCACCUCCUAGAUGGACCAUCUCCAGCAUGCUCCAAAACCACAUGAAAACCCCCAACUCCUGACAAUGUGACUCUCUGGAGGGCUUGUACCCUAUUUCCUCUGAGUGUG
rnacentral:lncRNA from 1 species